AUAUAGUUGAUCUUUUUUUAUGUAAUCUUUAUUGCUUUUAGAAAAAAUACUUAUAUAUGGUGAAGGACAUAAAUUCAUAGGUCUUAAUAAAACAAAAGCACCCUAAAACGAUUUGAAUAAAAUAACGUAAAUACACGUAUAAUCUUCUGUAGACAGAAGCAUGCAAUUGAUUCAAACAACAAUAAAAACUUGUUUAAAUCGACGAAAUAAUGUUUAUUUUUGGCAUCAAUCUAAAUGAGCAAAUUGGAACCAAAGGGCGAGAAGAUUCCUGCCCUGAGUAAAUUUACUCAUACGUCAUCGUUGUAUGAUUUGAUUCUGCGGAAGGUUUUUUCCCUAGUGUCGCUUUCCUAAUUGCUAAAUAAAUUACAUUGGGCCAGAAACGUAUUAGUCAGAGGGGCCACGACCACAUGCUGCCCCCCCCCAAUCAACCAUUUUGCCCCCCCUCCCCUCAGUGAAAAUUUCUUUUCUUUAAAAUAUGAUCAAAACAUGGGAAGAAAAAUAGAAUUUAAAAGGGA